ACUAUUUUGGCAGAAAAUUGUAGUGAUUUUAGAAGUCAUAAAUAUAUAGAUUUAUAGAUAUAUAGAUAGUA
rnacentral:tRNA from 1 species